AGGAGAGUCGGUGCUUUGCAGAAAAGGGAGUUGGAAGCUUCGAGAGACGGUGAUCGAUUCGAUUGCUGUCUCUCUGAGACAGCGAUUCUGAGAGCAAGAAAUAAUCGAGGUUUAGGUUUUGUUUUGGCAGUACAGAGGGAGGGAGAGAGAAACGCUGAGAGCGAGGCGUGUGGUUCUUCCAGCGGAAGUGUUAAAGCUACUUGCAAAGAAUCGGCUUCUUUCUGAGAAAGCUAAAGUGAAAUAUUCUUGUUCUGCUUUUAGUCUUUUUUGGUGACAUUUCUAUUUCAUUCCUUAUCGAACGGUUGGGACGAUGGCAAAUCAGAAUGACCUGGUUGUGUAAGUCCAUAAAUAGAAACCAAUGUCCAUUGUUAUAAUUACCAAUGGACUAAUUUGUUGAAAACAUCUGAUUGGGGUUGGGGGGCACGUAAAACACGGUUACGUAUUCAUGUCUCCCAAAUUCUACUAAUAUGUCUUCUUUCAGGUUGCACCAGAUAUGGCCCUUGAAUUUUUGCAGGAGCACCGUUUCAGCUCAUGUACGACAUGGUUAAGGUAGCGCUCCGGAAUAUGAAGUUGUUCAGGUCUCAACUUCGGUAGCCGGAAAACAUACUCAAAAUUCUCCAACCUCAAAUUCUUGAGCAGAUAAGACUAAACAAUGUGCAGCUUCACCUUUCAACCGUACACAUAAAAGUGCUCCAGCUGAAAAUUGAAGACAGUUUAAUGCUCCUCAAAAAAUUAGGAAGUAUUAGCAAUUUUAAUGUGCACGUUUGGGGUUCCUGUGUAAAGCCUAGUUAUGCAGAUCAGCUUGAGGAUUUAAUCAUAGAGCUGAAAAAUCUUCGAAGAAUCAUUGAGUUGGAGAAUCAAUCACUACUUGGCCGGCUCACUCUUUCUGCAGAGGCAACCGAGGGCAAACUUGAUGAGGUGAGCAGCAAUCUGAAACUUCUCACUCUUUCCGUGGAGUCAACCGAGGGCAAACUUGAUGAGAUUGCUGCUCACCUCAUCAAGUUUGCCCCUCGGUUGACUCCGCGGAAAGAGUGAGAAGUUUCAGAUUGCUGCUCACCUCAUCAACUUUGCCCUCGGUUGACUCUGCGGAAAGAGUGAGAAGUUUCAGAUUGCUGCUCACCUCAUCAAGUUUGCCCUCGGUUGCCUCUGCGGAAAGAGUGAGAAGUUUCAGAUUGCUGCUCACCUCAUCAAGUUUGCCCUCAAUUGACUCCGCGGAAAGAGUGAGAAGUUUCAGAUUGCAACCGAGGGCAAAGUUGAUGAGGUGAGCAGCAAUCUGAAACUUCUCAGUGACACAGUUACUGAUUUGAAAGAGCUGGUUCUUGGCAUUCAGCUAGAAGGGAUAAGCCCACCUGUUGAAACACCUCCACAAGUUGCUAAAGCAGCAACUACCCUCAGAGUACAUCAACACGUCGAGCAUCCUUUGCUAUGAGUAGCUGUCUCUUCCAAAGUCUGUCAGUAUUGAUGGAAUCACAUCAGUCUUAUCAGCCGAAGGCUAGAAACUUUAGCAAAAGACAGAUUUAAAAACUACAGUUGCUUGCUUUCUCUUUAUAUAGUAACUACGUUGAUAGAUUGGCUCUUUUUUUUUUAUGACAAUGUUGAUAGAUUGGUUGAUAUGGUUACAUAUUCACAUAUUGAUAGAUUGGUUGCUUGCUUUC